rnacentral:rRNA from 1 species
GCUCAGAACGAACGCUGGCGGCAGGCUAACACAUGCAAGUCGAACGAGAAGCAACUUCGGUUAGUGGAAAGUGGCGGACGGGUGAGUAACGCGUGGGAAUGUACCCUUGGGUGCGGAACAACAGUUGGAAACGACUGCUAAUACCGCAUAAUGUCUACGGACCAAAGAUUUAUCGCCUAAGGAUCAGCCCGCGUUAGAUUAGCUAGUUGGUAAGGUAAAAGCUUACCAAGGCAGUGAUCUAUAGCUGGUUUGAGAGGAUGAUCAGCCACACUGGGACUGAGACACGGCCCAGACUCCUACGGGAGGCAGCAGUGGGGAAUAUUGGGCAAUGGGCGAAAGCCUGACCCAGCCAUGCCGCGUGAGUGAUGAAGGCCCUAGGGUUGUAAAACUCUUUCAACGGUGAAGAUAAUGACGGUAGCCGUAGAAGAAGCCCCGGCUAACUUCGUGCCAGCAGCCGCGGUAAUACGAAGGGGGCAAGCGUUGUUCGGAAUUACUGGGCGUAAAGCGCGUGUAGGCGGCGUGUUAAGUCAGAUGUGAAAGCCCGGGGCUCAACCCCGGAAAUUGCAUUUGAAACUGGCAUGCUUGAGUGUAAGAG